rnacentral:misc_RNA from 1 species
AUGAGUCUAGGGUCCUCUAGGCCCGACCUCCCAACCCUUUGUUACUGAACCUACUGUUGCUUCGGCGGGCCCGUUCUCACGGACCGCCGGAGGACCGCCGUCAGGGCGUCCUCUAGCCCGCUGUCCGCCGAUAGCCAACUAAAAAACUCUGUAUUGAAUCCUGUCGUCAUGUCUGAAUGUCAUAAUAAGCAAAUAAAUGCA